AUGGUUAAGUUAGAAAGGGCGCACGGUGAAUGCCUUGGCACUAGGAGCCGAUGAAGGACGGGACUAACACCGAUAUGCUUCGGGGAGCUGUAAGUGAGCUUUGAUCCGGAGAUUUCCGAAUGGGGAAACCCACUGUUCGUAAUGGAACAGUAUCUUUAUCUGAAUACAUAGGAUAUUGAAGGCAGACCCGGGGAACUGAAACAUCUAAGUACCCGGAGGAAGAGAAAGCAAAUGCGAUUUCCUGAGUAGCGGCGAGCGAAACGGAAUUAGCCCAAACCAAGAGGCUUGCCUCUUGGGGUUGUAGGACACUCUAUACGGAGUUACAAAGGAACGAAGUAAAUGAAGCGACCUGGAAAGGUCCGUCGAAGAAGGUAACAACCCUGUAGUUGAAACUUCGUUCCCUCUUGAGUGGAUCCUGAGUACGGCGGAACACGUGAAAUUCCGUCGGAAGCUGGGAGGACCAUCUCCCAAGGCUAAAUACUACCUAGUGACCGAUAGUGAACCAGUACCGUGAGGGAAAGGUGAAAAGCACCCCGGAAGGGGAGUGAAAGAGAUCCUGAAACCGUGUGCCUACAAGUAGUCAGAGCCCGUUAAUGGGUGAUGGCGUGCCUUUUGUAGAAUGAACCGGCGAGUUACGAUCCCAUGCAAGGUUAAGCUGAUAAGGCGGAGCCGUAGCGAAAGCGAGUCUGAAUAGGGCGUUUAGUAUGUGGUUGUAGACCCGAAACCAGGUGAUCUACCCAUGUCCAGGGUGAAGUUCAGGUAACACUGAAUGGAGGCCCGAACCCACGCACGUUGAAAAGUGCGGGGAUGAGGUGUGGGUAGCGGAGAAAUUCCAAUCGAACCUGGAGAUAGCUGGUUCUCUCCGAAAUAGCUUUAGGGCUAGCCUCAUGUUGUGAGAGUCUUGGAGGUAGAGCACUGAUUGGACUAGGGGCCCCCAACGGGUUACCGAAUUCAGUCAAACUCCGAAUGCCAAAGACUUAUCCAUGGGAGUCAGACUGCGAGUGAUAAGAUCCGUAGUCAAAAGGGAAACAGCCCAGACCACCAGCUAAGGUCCCCAAGUAUACGUUAAGUGGAAAAGGAUGUGGAGUUGCUUAGACAACCAGGAUGUUGGCUUAGAAGCAGCCACCAUUUAAAGAGUGCGUAAUAGCUCACUGGUCGAGUGACUCUGCGCCGAAAAUGUACCGGGGCUAAACGUAUCACCGAAGCUGUGGAUUGACAUCUU
rnacentral:rRNA from 1 species